UGUCCGACUCUGUGCGACCCCAUAGAUGGCAGCCCACCAGGCUCCUCCAUCCAUGGGAUUUUCCAGUCUUCCAAACUGCAGGAAGAAAUGAGAGAAAAGGAACGAUUAUACAGCAUCAGUCAGCACCAGAAACUUUCUAAAUCUAAGAAAUCAGUCAGCCUCAUGUAUAUCUGCUGCAUCUGAGGGUUGUAUCUCAACAAGGAGAGAAGAAAAACACAUUUUCCUCUUGUAAAAUUCACCCUGGACACUGGGUGCAUGUACAACCCCAUGGCUUCAAUCAUGUGAUCCUACCAACCUUGUCUCCCUCUUGCCCACAACCAUAAAUGCUUUUUUUUUCCCCCUUCCUUUGAGAGGCUAGUCUGGGACUUAAAUCACUCUUUCUACCUUAA